CCAGACUCCUACGGGAGGCAGCAGUGGGGAAUAUUGGGCAAUGGGCGCAAGCCUGACCCAGCAACGCCGCGUGAAGGAAGAAGGCUUUCGGGUUGUAAACUUCUUUUCCCAGGGACGAAGAAAGUGACGGUACCUGAGGAAUAAGCCACGGCUAACUACGUGCCAGCAGCCGCGGUAAUACGUAGGGGGCAAGCGUUAUCCGGAUUCACUGGGUGUAAAGGGAGCGUAGACGGUAUGGCAAGUCUGAAGUGAAAGCCCCGGGCUCAACCUGGGAACUGCUUUGGAAACUGUUAAACUAGAGUGCUGGAGAGGCAGGCGGAAUUCCUAGUGUAGCGGUGAAAUGCGUAGAUAUUAGGAGGAACACCAGUGGCGAAGGCGGCCUGCUGGACAGUAACUGACGUUGAGGCUCGAAAGCGUGGGGAGCAAACAGGAUUAGAUACCCUAGUA
rnacentral:rRNA from 1 species